UUAUAUUUGUUGGUAGUUAUGAUUAAUUUUAAGUAAUUAUAAUAGUGCUUAUAAAUAAUCAUGUACUUCAAACUUUUUUAUAACAACCACAAUAAAAAAAUUUGAGUCUUCUCAUUAGUCUCUCUAGUAUCUUCCUCAUUUCUCCAACAGAAAUAAACAAUCAUGUAAUCAAGAUAUACGAAAACUAAAAUGAUAGAAGUUACAUCUUAAGAUUAUAGGGGUCAUGGUAAGAAUGAUGGAAGAGAAUGUAUUUUAAGAUAACUAAGAUGAAAGUCGGUUUCUAUAUGCAAAAAACGAUUCA
rnacentral:lncRNA from 1 species